rnacentral:lncRNA from 1 species
UUUUAGAAAAUACACAACCCUUUACACUACUUUUUCAAAAGACACAACCUUUCAACAUAAGUGGAUUCACAACCUUAGAAAUUAAUUGGAAAAUACACAACCUUCCAACAUAGAACUUUUAGAAAAGACACAACCCUUUACACUUCUUUUUCAAAAGACACAACCUUUCAACAUAAGUGGACUCACAACCUUUGAAAUUAAUUGGGAUUGCUAUUAUUAGUAGAUUAUUAGAUUAGUUAGGUAAUGACAUGUGAAAAAUAUGCAUUUAGAGGUUUAAGUGUACCAAAAUCAGAACUUUCUCUUUCUUUAAUUUCUUUUAAUUUUUUUUCUUUUCAUAUUUAGAUACCCUCUUCAAUUUUUUAAUGGAUUAAUGGAGCUGCUCUACGAACUUUUCAAUUUUCUCUUUCUUAACUUUUCAUUUUUUUGAUUGUUUUAAUGUUAGUAACUUGUGUUUAGAACAUACCGAUAAACAUGCUCUUACAAGUUUUCUGUGGGUAUAGGUGGGACAGUAAGAAUUUGAUGGGGUCAUUGACCAAUCCUCUUGCAACUUCUUUACGCUUAUUUAGAUGUUUAAUGAAAAUAAAAAGAGCUUAACGUAAAAAGUCUUGAACGCCGGCAAAGUGCGCUUUGAGUAUUAUUUAAGUCUCUCUCUCUAUCUUUCUUGAUUCUCCUCGAGUGUUUUUGGAUUUGAUUUGGAUUAUGCUUGUGUUGUGUGUGUGAUCGGAUGAUAAUCAUGUGAAAACAGAUUUUUUUCAAGCAUUCGUUUUCAUGCGACUUUAAGGAUUGGUAAGAUGGAACAUCCUUAGCUUUACGUUACUACAAUAUUUCUACGGGCUUGAAACAUAAAACUUGACUUUAUCCACAAUGAUUUGGUUUGCGUAUUUUUCUCAUGUUAAGGAUUUGUAUGGAUGGAUCUUUAGACGAAACUAGCGUGUGCUCUGUGUGUACCUGUUGAAGAAGUUGGGGAUUAAGGCCAUCUCCCAUCUGCUAAGGGCAUGUCGUAUCCUAAUUUCUCUAAGAGCUUGUUUUUAUUACUCUUGUGUGUUGGUUUAAGUCUUUAAGAUGGACGUUGAUAUUUAAACUGUUACGUCCAAUUACAUGAGCUUAUAUAAUCGUAUUUACGCG